rnacentral:lncRNA from 10 species
GCUCCACUGCAACAUCACGUCAGGUUUUCCUUGUUCCCGCAUGUUCAGCCAAUCGUGUUUAAGGAGAAACUAACAAUGAAAACGGACUCGUUGAUGGAGGAAAAGUUGGAAUGCAGCCUCUGGUGCUGUUUGAGCGAUCCCUCUACCCCGGGUCGCUGCUGUGUUCUGGAAAGGCGCAUUGUACCCUGGAUGCAGCAGGAAUCCUAUUCAUCUUCUUCACCGAUAUGGUCUGUGGACUCUGAUGAGCCAAAUCUGACAUCAGUUCUGGAACGUCUAGAAGAUACUAAGGACAACAGUUCGGUAAGGAAAGAAACCAAGCUAUUUUCUCUUUUCCUCAUGAACAUUAUAUUUAGAAAUUAAAUGUUAAAUGAUAAUAUUAUAUAAAAACAUGAUUAAUAACUAUAAUCUUAGAGGAAUUAAAGUCUGGGUAUUUUAAGUCCUCC